rnacentral:lncRNA from 1 species
CUGGUACACAGCAUGGAUUUUGUUGCUGGGAUCAGCAGCAGGAUGCUGAAGCCAAGUGUUAGGCAGAUUCCAUUUCUUGCAGCAUAAGAACCUCCAGGAUGCUAAUUCAUAUGACUUACACAGACAGAAAGCAUCGGUACUGCGGGGAGGACCAAAUGCCAGCAGAAUGUGGAGGACUGCGAGGAGUCACAGAUCCUUCCAUCGAGGCCCAGGGUUGUGGGAUCUGAGCAAGACUGAGCCUGACUGUUGAGGAUUAUCCACAACUGGACAUGAAUGUUGAGACCACUCUGGGCUCUAAGGAUUCCUUCCCAUCCUGCUGCUUUAGGUUAUAGGAUUACAUUGACAAGAGACUUGGAAAAACUUAACAGUGCAGGAAGCUAGCCUAUGAUUGCCCAGGAGCCAUCUGUUGGCUUCUUAGGAUGCUGGAGAAUGGAGUUUCCAUGGAGCUCCUUCAGGAAAGCCAGUGUUUGAUUUAAAGUACAGUGGUAGCUUGGGGGCAGUAAGAGGACCUGGUCCCUGCUAGGAAUCCAUGUGUUGACUCUGGGUUUCAAAUUCUUACUAUGAAUGCCAGAGACUUGAGGCAACGGCAAAGAUACUAGAUGAAGGAAAAUGGACCUUUAGGAAGUUCAAGCUACAAACCAGAAGCCCUUCGUGUCCAUUGACCAGGGAGAUGCUUGCAUCCCACUUUCAUCAUUUAUA